rnacentral:rRNA from 1 species
CCUACGGGAGGCAGCAGUAAGGAAUAUUGGUCAAUGGACGCAAGUCUGAACCAGCCAUGCCGCGUGAAGGAUGAAGGUCCUCUGGAUUGUAAACUUCUUUUAUAUGGGACGAAACCUCCGGAUUCUUCUGGAAUUGACGGUACCAUAGGAAUAAGCACCGGCUAACUCCGUGCCAGCAGCCGCGGUAAUACGGAGGGUGCAAGCGUUAUCCGGAUUCACUGGGUUUAAAGGGUGCGUAGGAGGGCAGGUAAGUCAGUGGUGAAAUCUCCGGGCUUAACUCGGAAACUGCCGUUGAUACUAUCUGUCUUGAAUACCGUGGAGGUGAGUGGAAUAUGUCAUGUAGCGGUGAAAUGCUUAGAUAUGACAUAGAACACCAAUUGCGAAGGCAGCUCGCUACACGAAUAUUGACUCUGAGGCACGAAAGCGUGGGGAUCAAACAG